rnacentral:rRNA from 1 species
GACGAACGCUGGCGGCGUGCUCAACACAUGCAAGUCGAACGGAAAGGCCCUGCUUUUGUGGGGUGCUCGAGUGGCGAACGGGUGAGUAACACGUGAGUAACCUGCCCUUGACUUUGGGAUAACUUCAGGAAACUGGGGCUAAUACCGGAUAGGAGCUCCUGCUGCAUGGUGGGGGUUGGAAAGUUUCGGCGGUUGGGGAUGGACUCGCGGCUUAUCGGCUUGUUGGUGGGGUAGUGGCUUACCAAGGCUUUGACGGGUAGCCGGCCUGAGAGGGUGACCGGCCACAUUGGGACUGAGAUACGGCCCAGACUCCUACGGGAGGCAGCAGUGGGGAAUAUUGCACAAAGGGCGGAAGCCUGAUGCAGCAACGCCGCGUGCGGGAUGACGGCCUUCGGGUUGUAAACCGCUUUCGCCUGUGACGAAGCGUGAGUGACGGUAAUGGGUAAAGAAGCACCGGCUAACUACGUG